GCCUGGGUGGCUCAGUCGGUUAAGCGCUAGACUUCGGCUCAGGUCAUGAUCUCACGGUUUGUGGGUUUGAGCCCCGCAUCAGGCU
rnacentral:tRNA from 1 species